GACGAACGCUGGCGGCGUGCCUAAUACAUGCAAGUAGAACGCUGAAACUUGGUGCUUGCACCGAGCGGAUGAGUUGCGAACGGGUGAGUAACGCGUAGGUAACCUGCCUGGUAGCGGGGGAUAACUAUUGGAAACGAUAGCUAAUACCGCAUAAGAGUAGAUGUUGCAUGACAUUUGCUUAAAAGGUGCAAUUGCACCACUACCAGAUGGACCUGCGUUGUAUUAGCUAGUUGGUGGGGUAACGGCUCACCAAGGCGACGAUACAUAGCCGACCUGAGAGGGUGAUCGGCCACACUGGGACUGGGACCCGGCCCAGACUCCUACGGGAGGCAGCCGUAGGGAAUCUUCGGCAAUGGACGGAAGUCUGACCGAGCAACGCCGCGUGAGUGAAGAAGGUUUUCGGAUCGUAAAGCUCUGUUGUAAGAGAAGAACGAGUGUGAGAGUGGAAAGUUCACACUGUGACGGUAUCUUACCAGAAAGGGACGGCUAACUACGUG
rnacentral:rRNA from 1 species